GAUGAACGCUGGCGGCGUGCUUAACACAUGCAAGUCGAGCGAAGCACUUAAGUUUGAUUCUUCGGAUGAAGACUUUUGUGACUGAGCGGCGGACGGGUGAGUAACGCGUGGGUAACCUGCCUCAUACAGGGGGAUAACAGUUAGAAAUGACUGCUAAUACCGCAUAAGACCACAGUACCGCAUGGUACAGUGGUAAAAACUCCGGUGGUAUGAGAUGGACCCGCGUCUGAUUAGGUAGUUGGUGGGGUAACGGCCUACCAAGCCGACGAUCAGUAGCCGGCCGGAGAGGGUGACCGGCCACAUUGGGACUGAGACACGGCCCAGACUCCUACGGGAGGCAGCAGUGGGGAAUAUUGCACAAUGGAGGAAACUCUGAUGCAGCGACGCCGCGUGAAGGAUGAAGUAUUUCGGUAUGUAAACUUCUAUCAGCAGGGAAGAAAAUGACGGUACCUGACUAAGAAGCCCCGGCUAACUACGUGCCAGCAGCCGCCGUAA
rnacentral:rRNA from 1 species